rnacentral:lncRNA from 1 species
UUUAUUAUAGAAUGAGACAAUUUACAGGUAUAAUGCUUUGCUGAAUAUUCUUUUUUAAUGUUGUUCAUGAAAAGCGGAUGCCUUAACCCUUUAUAUUUUUAUAACAGGCACGUGAAGCACAUUUACCAUUACCACCGAACCAUGAUUUGGACAUAUUUUUCUUUCUGUGACUGGUAUUGACGGUGGUGGAGUGAAUGUGUCAGAUCCACUUAUUAGGGAUACGUUAUGUUAGGGUUAGGGUUAGGGUUAGCGCUAGGGUUAGGGUUAGGAAAUGAAUGUGUCAGAUCCACUUAUUAAAGAUGCAUGUUAGAAUUGUAAGCCGAUCUGCGUCUUAUGACAGGGUGCUGCCUGAGCAGUCCACGCGGAUGGACCACUUUUGGAAAGCACAGUUGCACAGCGCCCACUGUCCUGUUUCUGUUGUAUUUUCAGGCCACCCAAAGUGAUCUCAUUUGAUGAUUACCACAAGACCUGGUGUGGAAUAGCCACGUCGAAAGCCACGGAGUCCCACAGAAGGCCGUGUAAGUGCUUGAAGAUCCAGACCUCACUGGACAAUAUUCUAAAUGGAAGGAGAUGGAUCUACAAUAUCCUGAAGAAUGGAAGUCAAAGUUUGCUGCCACCAGGUCUCGGGGCGCCCGAGAACGCAGAGCGCCAGCCAGCACCAUCCCUUCAGGGGAGAGGACCCACCCCUGCCCUACUCCAGGACAGGCCACUUUCUCCAGCCUCAGUCUCCCAUCCUCGUGGCUUCUCCACUCCUGUGCCACCUCCGUCCCCAGCGUCCCUGCAGUCCUCACAGGUGGAGGCCAUGUUUGACCGAGGUGAUGACCUCAUGACCUCUGGCCAUGCUCUGUGACGCUGGCCCUGCCACUCAGAGCUGCCUGCCGUCACAGGCGUCCCUGUUCCUCAGCAACACCUCCUCCCCUCACCCCCAAAUGCCACACUGAGCCCUGGCUCACCUCUGCGCCAGAGAAGUGCGGGAGGUACACAGUGGCCCGAGAGCCCGAGAGCCCUGUACCGUGCGCCCUCGCCUUUCCUUCCUGCACCCAGGUGCCCUGAGCCUCAGCACAGACUGAUGUCCCCGACCUGAACAGCCCGACUCUGAAAGGCUCCGAACCCAAAACGCUCUGGUGCUGACAGAUGCCACAAGUGGGAAAUUCCACACCACCAAACUGUUGCAUGCACAAAGCUGUUAAAAACAUUGUAUAAGAACCACCCUCAGGCUAUGUGUGUAAGGUGUACAUGAAGAACAAAUCAAUUUUGUACUUACGCUUGGCUCCUGCCUCAGAAAUCUUUCUCUCUCUCUGUCUCUCUCUGUCUCUGUCUCAGUCUCUGUUGCAGUUUCUGUCUCUCUCUCUCUCAAUAUCUGGAAAAAUCUACAAUCCAAAACACUUCUCAGGCAUUUCAGAUAAGCAGAUUCCCACCUGAGCGGCAUGUGGCUGGACACAUCUAGAAUCCCAGCACUCUGGGAGGCGGAGAGAGGAGGAUCACACGGCUGGAAACUUUAGUAAGACCCUAUCUCAAAGUUAAAAAGAAAAGAAAUUAUAAUAAUAGUAAAGGGCUGGGCAUGUAACUCAGCGCAAAGGCCUGGGUUCAGUCCCCAGGGCCACCCCUGUGGGUUACCCUAGCGCUUCUGUCAUGGUGGUGUGCUGUUAGUUUUCUGUUGCUAGGUGACACACUGCCCUACAUGGAAUGACUUAAAACAACACACACAUCUUGCUUCCUAUUUCUCGGGCCUUGGAGCCCAGACCCAGCUUAGCUUGGGCUCUGUGCAGGGUCUCAGGCUGCAAUGAGGGUUCAGCUGGGAGCUGGGCCUGGGAGAAGCUGCUUCCAGACCCAGUAG